rnacentral:lncRNA from 1 species
CAUUUAAAUAUUACUCAAUCGAUAAAACUUUUGUCUCUUAAGUCUAGGCCCAAGAUAAACCAUCAUAAUACAUUUUAUUUGCACCAAGUAUGAAAAUUUAUAAAAGUAUCUUAAAUUUUUUAUCCCUCAACCAAAUCCACCUUAUAUACAUUUUAAACGUUACACAUAUGAAUCAUGUUUGGGAUUCUAAUACUUGAGUUUUAACUUAAGUGUUAAUAUUAUGUAUCACUUAUUUAUUGAAUAAUGAAUAUAAAAUUAUUAAUUAUUUUAUUAUAACAUCCAACAGAUAAAUGCCACAUUAGUUAUAACUCAAAUAUUAAUAUCCUUAAUAUUUAUCAUCAUUAACUCAUGCACCCAUUAAGGACUUGAAUCUUAAAAAGACUACUCGUUCAACAUUAAUAUUUGGCUCAAAAUUCUUCUACUAAAACUACCAAAAUUAACAUUUUUCGUAUUAAAAAUCAAAUUAAAAUCAAGAGAUGGCCCAUCGUUGGCUCACUCUUUUUGGGCGAUGGGCUCAUCGUUGGAUUGUGAGAUGGGCCAUCGUCCAAACAAAAAAUAAAGAAAAGUUUCGAUAUAUUCAGUUUAAUGAAAUUUUGGGUCAAAUAUUAUUUUUCUCGCUCUUUAUUACUAGAGCUAAAUCUUAACCUUAUCAAAGAUAGCUUACUAGUGUUUUAAUGUUUUCAUUAACUUUAUCAAAGAUAGCUUACCAGUGUUAAUGUUUUUAUUUUUUUCCUUUGUAAUUUAUAACAUUUGUAACGAAAAACAAUUGAACAUUAAUAUCAAUGUAUUAUAUAAUACUUAUUUUUAAUGUUACUACUAUAAAAUUAAACGUUGCUAAUACAAUUUUGUAUGUUGUUAAUGAGUAUUUCGGGUAGCGUUUAUAAAACUAUGUCAUCAACAAAAUAGUUUUUUUUUUUGGGUGCUAUUAUAAGAUAUCAUAUUACUGUUGUGGCCGCGGCUAAGUUACUCCUGUGGAAAAGAAAAGUGGUUGCAUCCGUUGUAUGUCAAAUUUGUUGGAGGAGUAUGGAAAGCAUCUCCCAUGUCCAGUUAGGGUGGGCAAAAAAGUUCGGGCCGGCCUAAGCCCAGUCAGGCCCGGGGGCUUCGGUCCAGCCCUCACACAUGAGGGCCU